rnacentral:tRNA from 1 species
UCCCACGUAGUCUAGACGGUUAGGAUAUUCGGCUUUCACCCGAACGACCCGGGUUCGAGUCCCGGCGUGGGAAUA